CUGCCCCUCUGCUGAGCAGCCCAGGCCUCUCCCAUCCUCACUGCCUGGCUGAACCCAUGAGCAGCAGAUUUUUGGACACCAAGAGCUGUGUUUCCAAGCAUGGCGCUAAAGAGGAUGGGCUGGCCCAGAACCAUCCUGAGAACCAGGCCCAGAGACAGCUCAAGGGACAGAAGCAUUCAGGGCCCCCACAGCAGCACAUGAACGUGAACAUCAGUCUCAGGAUAUACCCCAAUUCCGGAAACACAAAUGUGCGAAAAUGUAGCCUCUGACUCAAAGGAACAUGGUGCUUCCAGAAGCCACGGCUCACAGAUCCUCCUGCAAUAAUCAGGACAAGGAGAAAGAAAGCUGCCACCGUCCUCCGUGCUGGGCGCUGCAAGGUUUACCCCCUGCAGGAGCCAUCAAGUCAUGGUACAGAAGGCCCAGAUGCAGAAACUGAGGCUCAGAGAGGGGAAUGCCUUGUCCAGGGGAGCAGCCUGUGAGCUGAGGAGCCGAGCUCAAACCCGGUCAGUCUGACUGCAGUCAGGGGUCUUUCCCCUGCAGCAGUGCUGGCUGAGGAUGUCCCCGGGAGUGUGUUCAGACAGCUGGGAUGCUGUGAGGCUGGCAGAAGCCAGUCUCAGCCCCAGCUCCUCCUAGAUAGAAAGAUAGAGAGGCCGGGGCUCCCUCCCCUCCCCUCCCCAUGGGCCCCCUGGAGCUGGGCUGCCUCUGCUUCCCCCUCAUAGGUCCCAUUGUCCCCAGCAUACAUAUUCCUUCCCUGUCCAUGGUUCCUCACAGCCCUUGUCUUCCAAGAAGAGGAACCAGAGAGGGGACACUUGCCCGAGGUCGACCACAAAAUAGCCUAAGAACAGGCCAGGCACAGCAGCUCACACCUGUAAUCCAAGCACUUUGGGAGGCCAAGGCAGGAGGAUUGCUUGAGGCCAGAAGUUCAAGCCUAGCCUGGGCAACAUAGCAAGACCCUAUCUCAAAAAAAAAAGUUAAAAAAUUAGCUGGGCAUGGUGGUGCACACCUAUAGUCCUGGUUACUCAGGAGGCUGAGGCAGGAGGGUUGCUUGAGCCCAGGAGUUCAAGUCUGCAGUGAGCUGUGAUCCUGCCACUGCACUCCAGCUUAGGUGACAGAGCAAGAUCCUGUCUCUAAAAAUAAAAUUUUAAAAUAGCCUAAAAA